UACAGAGGGUGCAAGCGUUGCUCGGAAUUAUUGGGCGUAAAGGGUAGGUAGGUGGUCUCAUUUGUCUGGGGUGAAAGCCUUGGGCUUAACUCAAGAAGUGCCCCAGAAACGGUGAGACUGGAGUCCUGGAGAGGGUCGUGGAAUUCCCGGUGUAGCGGUGAAAUGCGUAGAGAUCCGGAGGAAGACCGGUGGCGAAGGCGGUCUGCUGGGCAGUUUCUGACACUGAUGCGCGACAGCGUGGGGAGCAAACAGG
rnacentral:rRNA from 1 species